rnacentral:rRNA from 1 species
GCUGAGCGUGCUAAGGUAGCGUAUAUUGCUGUUUAAUUGAAGGCCAGUGAAUGGCAAGACUAGGAAUAACUGUACUUUGUGUAUAAAAAAAACUUUUCAUCUAAGUGAAAAGACUUAGAUAAUAAAGGAAGACAAAAAGACCCCGCGGAACUUUACCUUUUCUCAUACUUCUGUCUACAAACUUAAAGGUUUAUAAGGUUUGAUUGGGGCAAUCUUGGAACCAAUAAAGCUUCCAAUUUUUUUAAAAGAAUAUUAAAAAUUUACUAAGGACUAAAAAGUAGUUACCCCGGGGAUAACAGCGUAAUCCAACUUAAGAGUACACAUCGAAAGUUGGGUUUGCGACCUCGAUGUUGGCUUAAGGAUAUCCACAUAAGUGCAACCGCUAUGACAGGACAGUCUGUUCGACUAUUAUACCCUUACAUGAGCUGAGUUAAGACCGGCGCAAGCUAGGUUGGUUCUAUCUCCUUUACCUCAACCCUUUUCUUGAUGUACGAAGAC